AACGAACGCUGGCGGCGUGCCUAAUACAUGCAAGUCGAGCGAGAAAGUCUUCGGAUGAGUACAGCGGCGCACGGGUGAGUAGCGCGUAGGUAUCUGCCUUGAAGUGGGGAACAACAUCGGGAAACCGGUGCUAAUACCGCAUAUGAAGGUGACUUCAAAGGGGGGUAGCAAUACCUCUCGCUUUAAGAUGAGCCUGCGUGGCAUUAGGUAGUUGGUGGGGUAAUGGCCUACCAAGCCUACGAUGCCUAUCCGGUCUGAGAGGACGACCGGACACACUGGAACUGAGACACGGUCCAGACUCCUACGGGAGGCAGCAGUAGGGAAUAUUGCGCAAUGGGGGAAACCCUGACGCAGCAACGCCGCGUGAGUGAGGAAGGUCUUCGGAUUGUAAAACUCUUUUACUAGGGAAAAAUGCUGAUGGAGCUAAUACCCCAUUAGUUGAUGGUACCUAGAGAAUAAGCACCGGCUAACUUCGUGCCAGCAGCCGCAGUAA
rnacentral:rRNA from 1 species